rnacentral:misc_RNA from 1 species
UCCGAGUUGACCCCGGCAGUCUCCCAUGAGUCCCCGCCAUUACGCGCUGGCAACAUGGAACGAGGGUUGCGCUCGUUGCGGGACUUAACCCAACAUCUCACGACACGAGCUGACGACAACCAUGCACCACCUGUGAACCGGCCCCAAAGGGGAAGGACUGUUUCCAGCCCGGUCCGGCCCAUGUCAAGCCUUGGUAAGGUGGGGAUGACGUUUAGGAGCUCGAC